UAGUCUUAUGUUUAUUGUGUUUGGUGUUGUGGCAGUGAUAGUGAUGGUGUUUUCUGGUUUGCUCCUUUACUGUUGCUGCAAGAAUAAUAAAGGUGUCAAACAGAGCGAUGAUACAGACUACGAUGAUGUUGAGACUCUGAUGCAGAAGAUGACAGGAGAUACCUGGACCACCAUCACCUACCGUACAGUAGGACACCAAACACCUUCAUCUGCUCAUGACUGUUAAAGCAUAAAAAUAUUUUUUGAUUGACUGGACUCACAAAAGUCUUGAUUUAACUCCCAGAUUUCAUGACUCUUGUGGAAGUGUACAGAAUAUCUUAUACUUUUGUAAGUCCAAUGAACUUCAGUACGUUGCUGCAGAUAUUAUGAACGAGUGCUUCUUUGCUUCCCUCAUGUCACU